rnacentral:rRNA from 2 species
CAUUGGAAACUGGGGAACUUGAUUGCUGAAGAGAAAAGCGGAAUUCCACGUGUAGCGGUGAAAUGCGUAGAGAUGUGGAGGAACACCAGUGGCGAAGGCGGCUUUUUGGUCUGUAACUGACGCUGAGGCGCGAAAGCGUGGGGAGCAAACAGGAUUAGAUACCCUGGUAGUCCACGCCGUAAACGAUGAGUGCUAAGUGUUAGAGGGUUUCCGCCCUUUAGUGCUGCAGCUAACGCAUUAAGCACUCCGCCUGGGGAGUACGGUUGCAAGACUGAAACUCAAAGGAAUUGACGGGGGCCCGCACAAGCGGUGGA